rnacentral:rRNA from 1 species
UACAGAGGUCUCAAGCGUUGUUCGGAUUCAUUGGGCGUAAAGGGUGCGUAGGUGGCGCUGUAAGUCGGGUGUGAAAUUUCGGAGCUUAACUCCGAAACUGCAUUCGAUACUGCGGUGCUUGAGGACUGGAGAGGAGACUGGAAUUCAUGGUGUAGCAGUGAAAUGCGUAGAGAUCAUGAGGAAGACCAGUGGCGAAGGCGGGUCUCUGGACAGUUCCUGACGCUGAGGCGCGAAAGCGUGGGGAGCAAACGGG